rnacentral:misc_RNA from 1 species
UCCGAGUUGUCCCCGGCAGUCUCGCAUGAGUCCCCAACUAAAUGCUGGCAACAUGCGACGGGGGUUGCGCUCGUUGCGGGACUUAACCCAACAUCUCACGGCACGAGCUGACGACAGCCCUGCACCACCUGUGCACAGGCCCCGAAGGGCUGCCGUAUUUCUACGACAUUCCUGUGCAUGUCAAGCCUAGGUAAGGUUCUUCGCGUUGCGUCGAAUUAAACCACAUGCUCCGCUGCUUGUGCGGGUCCCCGUCAAUUCCUUUGAGUUUUAGCCUUGCGGCCGUACUCCCCAGGCGGGGCACUUAAUGCGUUAGCUCCGGCACGGGAGGAGUCGACACCUCCCACACCUAGUGCCCAUCGUUUACGGCGUGGACUAC